rnacentral:rRNA from 1 species
CCAAACCUACGGGGCGCAGCAGUGGGGGAUAUUGCACAAUGGGGGGAACCCUGAUGCAGCGACGCCGCGUGGAUGAAGAAGCGCCUCGGCGCGUAAAGCCCUGUCAGCAGGGAAGAAAAUGACGGUACCUGAAGAAGAAGCCCCGGCUAACUACGUGCCAGCAGCCGCGGUAAUACGUAGGGGGCAAGCGUUAUCCGGAUUUACUGGGUGUAAAGGGGGCGCAGACGGCGAUGCAAGCCAGGAGUGAAAGCGCGGGG